rnacentral:rRNA from 1 species
CAGUAGCCGCGGGAAUACGCAGGGGGCGAGCGUUGUCCGGAAUUACUGGGCGUAAAGGGCACGCAGGCUGUGAUUCAAGUCAGCUGUAAAAGGAUGCGGCUUAACCGUGUUUAGCAGUUGAAACUGGAUGACUGGAGUGCUGGAGAGGCAAGUGGAAUUCCCAGUGUAGCGGUGAAAUGCGUAGAUAUUGGGAAGAACAUCGGUGGCGAAGGCGACUUGCUGGCCAGUAACUGACGCUGAGGUGCGAAAGCCAGGGUAGCAAACGGGAUUAGAUACCCCCGUAGUCCCUGUCUCUUAUACA